UACGAAGGGGGCUAGCGUUGUUCGGAAUUACUGGGCGUAAAGCGCACGUAGGCGGACAUUUAAGUCAGGGGUGAAAUCCCAGAGCUCAACUCUGGAACUGCCUUUGAUACUGGGUGUCUUGAGUAUGGAAGAGGUGAGUGGAAUUCCGAGUGUAGAGGUGAAAUUCGUAGAUAUUCGGAAGAACACCAGUGGCGAAGGCGGCUUACUGGUCCGGUACUGACGCUGAGGUGCGAAAGCGUGGGGAGCAAACAGG
rnacentral:rRNA from 1 species